UGGCGAUGAUGGCGAGGAGGAGGCUGUUGCGCCACGCCGGCCACGCUGUGUCGGCGAAGGUACGCGUAAUUCUCGAGAUCCCACGGAUCCACGUAGUGCCUGCUCGUCGAGCUGCAACCGUCCCCGGAGCUACCGAUAGAAAUGGAACCGACAGAGUCCCAAUAUAUCGAUGAUUCGGUUGGCAUUUUCAUUUCUUCUUCCUCUCUUCAAAAUUUUCACCGAUCAUCAACUGUACUCCUUUUUCCAAAAAUCAACCCUUUUGAAUUUUUUCACAUCGAAAUUGUACAUAUAUAUAUAUUAUGGAAAGAAGAAAUUUUCUUGUCUCAAGACAAGAUUUAUUGUAGUUGAUAACAGUCGUGAAAAGGUAAAUAGAAGAAAGGUUCCGUCUUGUUUAUUAAUUCUUCUAACUACUUUUAUUUUUUCCACUUUCCACAGAGACGGUUGUUAAUUCACGUUGAUAUCGGAACAGAAUUCUGAAUAAUUGAAUCACAAUUCGAUGUCGGUUUCGUUCGAGAUCGAGCUUAGCUCGUUUCCGGUCGAUCGAGGAGGCGCAUUGCGCGCGGCACGAGCACGAUUUCGCUUCUGUCGAUCCGUUCGAACGGCGAGCUUCACCGUUUUCUUCUCCUACCGGCCGCCAAGCUGGAUCUCUUGGAAGACAAGUGAAACUGAAGACUUUCACGCCUGCGCUACCACCCCACCUUCCUCUUGAACCUGGUGCAUCGUCUUAUUACGCCUGUAAUCGCCUGUAUAAUUGCCUGGAUCAUGGGGCCGUCCCUCAACCAGUUGAAAUUCGUAUAAAAUUCGUAUAUUCGAAUUUCGAAUUUAAAUUUUGUAUGAUUAAAAUAUUGCGCAAUUUUAAUUGGUUCCAACUUUGAGAAAAUUAUUACAAACACUUUGACUAAAAAGGGGAGGUGAGAAUUAAUAUUUAAUUAAUUAAGGCAGAAUAUAAUAACACGUAUUUCUUAAGAAAGUGUCUCUGAAAUGAAAGAACCAUCCAGGGCAACAUUCCAUCCUGUCCGCCUCUAUUUCUCUCGGUUCGAACCCUUCCCCCCAAAUACGCGACGAACUUUUUAUUGGAACGAUCGUGAACCGGAUUUAAUUGUAUGAAACGCACGUGAACAGAGGCCUGUCACUCGCCACCCGGGGCGGGUCAAUUAAAAUUGUGCUAACCGCGAGAAAAAUGGCGUCGUGGAACCGACGUGACUGGCACGGGAUUGCGUAAUUAUCGAUCGUGCAAUUGAGACGCGAGGGAACUUGCUAAGAAGGUAACGCUGUGCUUUCGUCGAAUUAAUCUAUUCCAUCUUAAUUAUCCUUAAAAAUGAUUCAAGCUGUGUAAUGCAGUGAUAAUGAUCGUCGAUAAAUUUUUCUGACGCGAUGGAAUUUUAAUCGUGAUACAACUGAACCUAAACGUUUCCUUGAACACGAAAAAGAGGAAUAAGAAUAAAGGAAAGAAGAUCAAGAAAUUUGAUUCAAACAAAUGUUGGAAUUGCUCGAAAAUUGGAAACUUUUAUGCAAAGUUUCAUGGUAUACUUGUGAUAUUGAAAUUUGAUCAUUUACUUAACCUCAACAUAACCUAACUUAAGUUCGAGUUCUCUUUGCUUUGAUUUGUCAAAUGUAGAAAACGUGACAGUGAGUGAAAAAGAUAAAAGAAAGAGAUGUGAAAAUGAAGACGAGGGAAUAACUUUCUUAAAAUUAAGACACGUGAAUAAAUUUAAAAAAAAAUUGUAUAUUGGAGGAAGAAACCUCUUAGAGAAAAGAAUUAUCGAACGGUUAUAUGGAUCGUGUCUGAAAAACGAGAAAAGCAAUUUUUUUUGGGAAAAUAAAGCAACUAACGGGUGUAAAAUCAGUAUACAAAAUAUAAUUGAUUGGUACAUUUAAUACAAUCAAAGGUUCAAUUCAAUCACAAGACAGCUGUAUAGAAAUAAUAACGCUAUGAUCACAAAUGAGCAGCAAUGGAUGCUGAUUAAAAACUAUAUUAAAAUUAUAUAUGAUGUCGGCAGCUAAAGGUAUCUUUUCGAUAAUCACAAAUAAACAGCCAGAUGUUAGAUAUAUCGCAGCUGAUCUUUUUUUUUCUUUUGAUCGAAAUUGUUUCUUUUUCCUUUCGAGAAAAUGAUGUUUAUUCAUUAUCCAGAUUUGUGUCUAAAUUUCUAUUAGGAUUAUAUUUAGAAAUCUAGAAAUUAACUGAGAAAUCGAUAUAAGUACAAUAAUUACAACGAUAUACGAAAUUAGUUUUUUUUUUCUUUCUCUACGAAUAAUUUUUUUUACUAAGAAAAAUAAAAUAUUCUCUCUCUCUCUCUCUCUCUCCUUUCGACAAAUUCAUUCAUCUCGAUUGUGUGAUAGCUUUUGCUUUCUACCUUCUGCUCGUGAAUAUUCACGAUGUUCCGCGAUCCGUUCUAUCGAAAACUGAAACUGUUAGAAAGCCGGAAUCGUCCGAUCCUACACUUUCUUCAAUCUUGACAUCGAAUGCAUUCAACCGAAUAUGUCUGAUUUUUUCCAUCUAUCUCGCGUAUAAAAAUCCACGAGGAUCAAGACUGACCAAAAUAAUUAGAUUUAUUUUAUUGUUAAAGAGCGAGUCUUAAAUCUUAAAUUCCAUAAAAAUAGUUUCUAUCAUUUUGAUGUUGAGAUUUCACGUUUGUGAAAAAUUUAAAAGAUUAUAGAUUAGUCAAAAUGAUAGAAUACACUGGAUAAUAUUACUAUUGAAGAUAUUAUUAUUAUAUAUUACUAGAAACGAGAUAUAUUAGUGAUUGGGUUUUAAAAAGUUCGUUUAAGAAUUUCUGAUGAUCGAUAAAACGUAAAAUUCCACUUUAUAUUUGACGAGAUGAAAGAGAAUAAUUCACGAUAAAAAAGAAAUCACAAAUUUCAACUAUAAUAUCGAAUGGAAACAAAAUUGAAUUAAAUUCGUUAAUUAAUUCCUCUUGCUCCUUCACUUUUCCACUUAAUCGUUAUAAAUAUCUACAAAUACUAUAAAAAUGUAUAUUAGAGUGUAUAAUAUCAAAAUACUUUAUAUAAUUUCAUUUAAUUGUAAUUAAUUAUUCCUACAAUUACGGGAAAAAUUAAAUAAAAUCAUUAAAAUCAAAAGUUUAAUAUUACUACUUAUAACCUAUAAUUUUCCAGUCACGUCGGUUCGGUGGUUGGAAAUUAAUUCGGGAGAUGAUCGUGACAUAUAUCCUUGGGGAAAAUAUAGAAUUGGGGAAAAAAAAACAUAAAUAUUCGAAUAAUAUAUCAAAAAUAAUAUUAAUCAAUCUUGGCCGUGCAAAUGAAAAAAAAAAGUUCAAAAUUUCGACAUUUUACGUUUUAUUUGUGAUGUAUCGAACAUUUUUCUUUCUCCAUCGAAAGAUGACGAGAGGAGCCUUGACACACGCACACAGGCUCCUUUUAUAGAUUACGUACACUGGGGAAAAUAGGAUCGAAGGGUCUAGGGUAAUCUAGAGAGUUAACUUUUAAGAAAUAAAUUAGAGAGCCUAUCUCACUUGAUACUGGAACAUGAAUUACCGACUUUCGGCAACGCAGUUGGAGAAUUGAAAUAAACGGGGAAUGGGAAAACGCUGUUCGUUUUUUCUCUUUUUAUCAUUCGAUUCUCGCCCCGUUCGAACUAGUUAGCUUAAAAAAAUAUUGACUUUUUAGAUUAGGUUAAGGAUAGGGAUUAAGUAGAAAAUAGGGAUUGGCUGGCUAUCUCGUCACGAUAAUCACAGUGUCUCCCGUUUUAAUCAGUACAACAGGCUAUUUAUGCAGAAAGGAAUAACGUAAUAUAAUAGUAUAUCAAUACCUUUUCUCUUACAUAACUUGAACCCUAAUGUGUUAUAUUAAUACCGUCUGUGAGAACAGUUGCAUCUACUUUACCAUCUUUCGAUACUUAUCUGAGCAUGUGGUCUGAGUAUUUUAUAAAAAUUUGAAUUAAAAAAAAAAAAAAAAAAAAACAAUUUCCAAUUAAUUUUCAAUCUCAAAUUAAUCUCUUUUUUUCAAAAGAUAUUUUUAUAAAUUGUAAAAAAGUAAACAUGAUGAACAUGAUUCUCGCAGAUAGGUGCACGUUUAAAAAAGAAAAAAAAUAUAAAAAGUGUCUCCUUUUGACAAUAUUCGAUAGGAUACUUUACUCAGGGUUUUUUUUUUUUUUCUAUCAAAAUCCUUUCCGCGAAGAACUGAUGACACUAUGAUCGUGAAAAAUUAGGCGAAACGAAUUCUUCAAAAGCACGCAUUUCCAAUUACACACGAACUAAAAAAAAAAAAUCCUGGCCAGGACGCGUUGGCCAGGAUUGAACGUAAGAAAGAAAGAAAGAAUAUAAUGAAAGGAGGAAAUUUUAAAUUUAACUUCAGUCAGCUAUGAAAUGCCUAUAUGUACACUCCUGACAAUAUAUAUAUAUAUAUAUACGAUUACAAUCUAAUCUCUAUCCUUAAAAAAAAAAAAAAAAGGAAAACGGAGAAAAAGGAAAAUUCUCUCACUCUCACUCUCACUCUCAUUCUCUCUCUCACUCUCUCUAUUUCUAUCUUUGAACAAUACCGCCUAGAGCCUUUAGUAACGCAUAUCACAGUUACAAAAAUUCAACGUUUCUCGCUACUUGGCAAUCUUUCUCCUCCUCCCCACUCCUCCCCCCGCAGUAUCAAAUCGUUUUUAUUACACAUUUAUUACACGUACAUCUAUCGGACCCCAAUGCUUUCGUCAGCCGAGCGAUUGCAUCGCUUUUACUCGACAGCCAUUUGCAGCCUUCUCCAUCGAAGUGAGACAUUUAAGGAUAGAGAAGUAUGCCAGCAGAGACAAUUUUUUUUUUUUUUUUGCUUCUACAGGCAGUUGAGCUGGCUUUGAGCGCCGGCGAUAUCAUUGGAAUUGACAGAACGGUUUACAUGCACGUAGUCGUGCCUCUUGGAAAUUCUCUAAGUGCUUCUCUUUUCGAUCAAUUGGAACUCUUUUUCGAUCGACAAUUGGUUAGGAAAUAAAAAUUGCUUUUUUAUUAUUAUUAUUAUUAUUGUUUCGAUUCAAUUAAGAUCAGAUUAGAGAGAAAUAAUAAAUCAAUUUUGAAUCCAGAUAUUUCCUCGAUUUUUAUAGAUGGAACUUGAAUUGUAUGAAUAUUAGAGAAUUACGAUUGGACGACGUCGAGCGGAAAGAGAGGUUAUGUUAGCGCGGUUAAACCAAUCCAUCGAUGACACGUAUCAUAUAUAUAUCGAUUCCUUUCCUGAAGAAUUUAAUCAUAAAAAGAGAUAGACGGUUUACAACCACUUUCACAAGAUCACUGUCAUAAAUAUGCAUGGAAGAGGUUUAACUCUGAAAGUGGUUUUUUUUUUAUCGGGUUUAAAUGGAACCACGUACGGUUUUUUCGUUUCACUUCCGUUUCACGUAGAUUUAAUUACCGGAUAACCGAUUGUCGACAUAGAAGAGUUUCAAUGAUUCUAAUUGACACGGUCUAAUAUAUCAAUCGUUCAAUUUUUAUGGCCGUAUUCGUUCAUAUAUGGUGUAAAUAAAAAAAGAUAUAAUUUCUUUUAUUACGUUACAACGAUAUAGGAAGAUUUUUUUUUUAUAACACGAUACAAUAAAAAUCUUUUUAUCAGUUUAAACAACAAGGAUGACAAAAAUUUAAAAUUUUUGAAAAAAUGGAAGAAUUUUUUGUGUGAUGUAAGAAUUACACCGUAUACGAUGAACGUAUAUACCAUAAAUCAAAACGAGCAAUUUUUCUUAAAAAAAAUAUUGAAUAUUUAGGAUAAAAAAUUUAAUAAAAGAAUUAAUUUUUUUCUUUUUUUUUUUAAGGAUAAUUGCUCGUUACUCUUACAUUUUCAUGUAUUAAUACAAAAUAAUUGAUAUGAAUCCUUUUUUUUUUUUUUUUUUUU